ACAUACGACCAUAGCCGCUAGCUAAGCUCAGGAUCCCGUCAGAUCUCCGAGCGAUAAUCUGGUGAGCGCUGGAUUAGUAGUUGGGUCGGUGACGACCAGCGAAUACCUGGUGUUGUAUGUC
rnacentral:rRNA from 1 species